rnacentral:rRNA from 1 species
UACGUAGGGGGCUAGCGUUGUCCGGAAUCAUUGGGCGUAAAGCGCGCGUAGGCGGCCAGAUAAGUCCGGUGUGAAAGUCAAAGGCUCAACCUUUGAAUGCCGCUGGAAACUGUCUGGCUUGAGUCCGGAAGGGGCGAGUGGAAUUCCUGGUGUAGCGGUGAAAUGCGCAGAUAUCAGGAGGAACACCGGUGGCGAAGGCGGGAUCCUGGGCCAGUACUGACGCUGAGGAGCGAAAGCGUGGGGAGCAAACAGG